rnacentral:rRNA from 1 species
UUUGAUGGUAGUGUAUUGGACUACCAUGGCAGUCACGGGUAACGGAGAAUUAGGGUUCGAUUCCGGAGAAGGAGCCUGAGAAACGGCUACUACAACUACGGUUUGGCAGCAGGGAAGAAAAUUGGCCAAUCCUAAUUCAGGGAGCCAGUGACAAGAAAUAGCAAGCUGGGAAACUUAGUUUCUACGGCAUUGAAAUGAGAACAGUGUAAAUCUCUUAGCGAGGAACAAUUGGAGGGCAAGUCAUGGUGCCAGCAGCCGCGGUAAUUCCAGCUCCAAUAGCGUAUAUUAAAGUUGUUGCAGUUAAAAAGCUCGUAGUUGAACUUCUAUCUAGGUUCACUUCAACUCGUUGAAUGAAACUGGAUAUACGUCUGCAAACUAAAAUCGGCCUUCACUGGCCGACUUAGGGAGUAGACAUUUUACUGUGAAAAAAUUAGAGUGUUUCAGGCAGGUUUUAGCCCGGAUACAUUAGCAUGGAAUAAUGGAAUAGGACUAAGUCCAUUUUAUUGGUUCUUGGAUUUGGUAAUGAUUAAUAGGGACAGUUGGGGGCAUUAGUAUUUAAUAGUCAGAGGUGAAAUUCUUGGAUUUAUUAAGGACUAACUAAUGCGAAAGCAUCUGCCAAAGAUGUUUUCAUUAAUCAAGAACGAAAGUUAGGGGAUCAAAGACGAUCAGAUACCGU